GUAGGGAAUCUUGCGCAAUGGGCGAAAGCCUGACGCAGCCAUGCCGCGUGAAUGAUGAAGGUCUUAGGAUUGUAAAAUUCUUUCACCGGGGACGAUAAUGACGGUACCCGGAGAAGAAGCUCCGGCUAACUUCGUGCCAGCAGCCGCGGUAAUACGAAGGGGGCUAGCGUUGCUCGGAAUUACUGGGCGUAAAGGGCGCGUAGGCGGACAGCUUAGUCAGAGGUGAAAGCCCAGGGCUCAACCUUGGAAUUGCCUUUGAUACUGGCUGUCUUGAGUUUGGGAGAGGUGAGUGGAACUCCGAGUGUAGAGGUGAAAUUCGUAGAUAUUCGGAAGAACACCAGUGGCGAAGGCGACUCACUGGCCCAAUACUGACGCUGAGGCGCGAAAGCGUGGGGAGCAAACAGGAUUAGAAACCCCUGUAGUCC
rnacentral:rRNA from 1 species